ensembl:lncRNA
ACGGUGACAGUUAAUACCCUAUUCCGUUCAGGGGUUCUGCAUUCUGCAGGUCCUGUUUGCAGCCCUUUUCAAGCCCAUUUCUUUCUGGUUGAGCCGCUGUUUCCUCUUUCAUGGUUUUCACCUCAUGAUCUCCAACCUCAGCUCCAAAUGUGGUUUGUCUUCUCCCCCAUCAUCCCAUCUUAUGGCUGUAAUUCACAGUGGCAUGUGUUAAUUACACCCACGCAGAGUUGUUUAAGGGCAUGCUGGGCAUCAUUAUCAUGUUUUAAAUUAUGUCCUCUCUUCUGGUCUCAGUUUGCAGCUCAGUGGGUUUUAAGGAUUGUUGGGACUCCUCUAAUCGGUGGUGUGAGGCCUGUGGAGCAGCUAAUGGAACAUCACGACUAUGCUGACUUCCCCAGGGUAUUACGGUCAUUUCUGUCUCACCAGCAGAUCUGGGUUUGUGUUAAUAAAAAAGAAAGGGUUGUCCUCUUCUGGAUGACUACAGUCAGGAUCUCCAGAUAUCUCAUCCCAAUUGUCAGGAGAUGCUAUUUGUUUCCUAAUCUGUAUGAUACCCAAACCCCCACACCUUUUCCUCCCAUCCCCUGACCCCCAUUAAGUAACUUAUAAACAGCAUUAAUUAUAUCCCUAAUACUCCCUUGCGUCAUCCUAUAGAGCAAUGCACGCAGGGUGCAGCCCUACAUAUGCGGGGCAGCGCCUUCAUUCCUGCAUUGUGUCCAACAGGUGGCAGCAGAGAGCUGCAGCGCUCCCGAGUGCUGUAAGGACUGCACGGAGAGACGUGCGGGUCUUCACGGGAACAGCCAGGAACCGAAAGCUGCAUUUCCCGGGAUGCCCUGGAGCUCCACUUUGCUGACUGGUAAUUGUCUGCCCAGCAGGUAAGGACAAUGCACACCCACCAGUGUUUACCCCUUACUGAGUGAGACACAAGGUAGGGUUCCCAGAGCUCCUUUCUGCACUUCAGGGUUCCCCAAAGGCUGCCCGUCCUAUUCUUUGCACGUUCUCCUUGGCUCUGGCCUUUCACGGUGGUGUUCUCCUUCCCUUUGCCCUUGGCGUUCCCUACUACAUUCUCUUGUCCUCUUGUUUUUGCAUUCCUUGUCAUGUUCUCUUGGCCAUUGCCUUUGGCCUUCUUUGCGGCAUUCUUUUUGGCCUCCGGUUUUGGCAUUCCCUGCUGCGUUCUCUUUGGCCAUCACUUCUGGUGUUCCAUGCAGUGUUCUAUUUGGCCUUAUGUUUUUGCCAUCCAUGCCACGUUCUCCUGGCCAUUGCGUUUGACCGCCUUUGCCACAUUCUCUUUGGCGUUGCCUUCCAUGUUCUCUUUGACCUUUGCCCUUGGCCUUCUUUGCCGUGCUCCUUUCAGCCUCCUGUCGUGGCAUUCUCUGCGACGAUCUCUUUGGCCUUUGGUUUUGGCAUUCCUUGUUGCGUUCUGUUUGGCCUUUGCCUUUGGCCUUCUUGUUUUGGCAUUCCCUACAGCGUUCUCUUCGGUCUUUGGUUUUGGCCUUCUGUGCUGCAUUCUCUUUGGCCAUUGCCCUUGGCCUCCUGCAUCGGCCUUCCCUGCAGCGUUCUCAUGGACCUCGCCCUCCAUUUUGGCCUUGCCACGGUGUUCUCUUUGGUCUCUGUUUUGUUCUCUGAGGCCCUCUCUUUGGGCCUGCCCUCUGAGGAGGUCUUCUCUUUGGUGUUCUCCAUACCUUUGCUUUCACUGUGCCUUUGACGUUGCCUUCCCUUGGUUGUUGUCUAUGCCUUUGCCCUCGGUUUUGGUGUUCCCUCGGGUGUUGUUGCCUUUGCCUUGGCCUUCCCUACCAGUCCCUUUGAGCAUAACCCUAAUAAACCUAACCCUUAUACCUUCACCCCAAUCCUAAUGAGCUCUGAACUCCAAACAUAGUGCUAAUCUGAUGCAACACCCUCAGCAAACUUACCAAAGGUGCACUCCAUGCCAUCAGGCAGGUCUUCAAUGAAGAUAUUGGACAGAACAGGCCUGAAGAGCACUCAGGAUGGCAUACCAGCUGCAUUUAACACGAUGGAGCAGCACUCAUUAGGCCAGGCGGUUCAGCUACUUCUUCAUCUAGCAAGCAGCGUACCCGUCCAAGUAGCCGGCUGCAAUCUUUCAGAGAAUUUUGAGGGAUAGCACAUCAAAGGCUUUGCCUCACUCAGGGGGUUGGGUCACCUUCGCUUUGAGAUUGCUAGCGUGGCUGACCCUAAUCCCGUAACUGACAUCCCGUAGCUGGACAGGGACCAUUCGCACUCCAUCCAGGCUGUUUGAGACUCACGGCCAUGCUGAGAGUCACACUGAUUUCAGCGCGUGCAGUCAUUUUGCAUCAACCCAAUUGGCUUUAGCUUUACAAAUAAUUUAUCUCAACCAAAUUGGCUUUAGCUUUGCAGUUAAUGCAUUGCAAAUAAGUUGGCUUUAGCUUUGCCUUGCUUACGGGGUUGGGUUAGCUUUGCUUUGUUUGUUUGUACCGCAGGGCUAACCCAACCCCGUAACCAACGCCCGAGGCCUUCGGAGCCCAUUUGCGCUCCUUCCCGGCCAGUCUGAGACUCGCGCCCCUUUGUGGCCAUUCUGAGAGUUGUGCCGAUUUUGGCAGGUGCAGUCAAUUUGUCUUGCCCAAAUUGGCUUUAGCUUUGCAAUCAAUUGAUCUCAGCCAAAUUGGCUUUAGCUUAGCCUUGCUUACGGGGUUGGGUUAGCUUUGCUUUGUUUGUUUGUACCGCAGGGCUAACCCAACCCCGUAACCAACAGAGCCCAUUUGCGCUCCUUCCCGGCCAGUCUGAGGCUUGCAUUUACUUCAGGUGGGCUGAGAUGUGCUCUGCUCUUGAGGUGGGUUGCAGUACACAAUAUUAGUGUAAAUGUAAUGUUAUUUAUUGGAUAUGGAGGCUUUGUGACCUUUGUCUUGUGAAUCGGACAUAUGUGUUAUAUGUAAACCAUGCCUUAAAAUGUAUGGAGUGCGCGGGUGCUGCGCCUGUAAACGGUGUCUUGCAAUUGUAUGGAAUCAGUGUAUUCAUGUUUUGUUUGUCAACAUGUAGGCAUUGCUGUAGUGUGCAUACAAUUGUAUGAGUCAUGUCUUGAGGAAACAGUGCUGUAAUGAACAAAUACUUGUGCAAUCUAAUUCAGUGGUGUGCCUUGAUUCAACAUUACCAGGUCACAGAUCCCACUUGAAGCUAAGUGCAACAGGUAGGUGUGAAGGUAAGGUAGACUGUGAGACAUUGGGUUAGACUUAGGUGUUAGACUUAGGGUUAGGGU